UACGUAGGUGGCAAGCGUUACUCGGAAUUACUAGGCGUAAAGAGCAGGUAGGCGGUUGGAUAAGUUUCUUGUGAAAGCUCCCGGCUUAACUGGGAGAGGUCAAGGAAUACUGUCUGACUUGAGUGUGGUAGGGGAAGUUGGAAUUCCUGGUGUAGCGGUGAAAUGCGCAGAUAUCAGGAGGAACACCGGUGGCGAAGGCGGAUCUCUGGGCCGAUACUGACGCUGAGGAGCGAAAGCGUGGGGAGCGAACAGG
rnacentral:rRNA from 1 species